rnacentral:lncRNA from 1 species
GUGCCGAGGUUUCCGUCACCUCCCCCAGCAAGAACCUGGUGCUCAAGGAUGCGGCCACGCAGAUGUUGGUGUCCAUCCACCUGAACCCGGGGGUGGCGGUGGCGGGGGUCCCGUGGUGGGUGGUCCCGCUGGCGGUGCUGCUCGGGAUCCUCCUCCUGGCCCUGCUGGUCCUCGGGCUCUGGAAGGUGGGGUUUUUCCGCCGUGCCCGCCGUGCCCCCGCGGCCGUGCGCAGUACACGCCGUGCGGAAUCCACGCGGGACGCAGCGGCGGCACCUCCUGUAGGCAAGGCCGGGCAACGAUCGCAAGAGGCCAGGAAUGGGCCGCCAGCCCCGCCGAGCCCCGGACGGACGCGGGACCCCCAGCUCCGCAUAGACCCCCCCACUGUGAAAUGGGGGGUGGGCACGGGGGGCACAGACACGGGGUAUGGGGUGUGGAACAUGGGAUAUGGGAUACAGAUAUGGGAUACAGGACAUGGGUAUAGGAUAUGGGAUAUGGGACAUGGACAUGAGAUAUGGGAUAUGGGACAUGGACACAGACAUGGGAUAAGGGACAUGGACACAGGAUAUGAAACACGGAAUAUGGACAUGGAACAUGGAUACUGGAUAUGGGACAUAGGACAUGGACAUGGGAUACGGGACAUGGAACUCGGGAUAUGGAACAUGGGACAUGAAACAUGGGACACAAACAGGGGACACAGGACAUGGAACACGGGAUUGUCCGCCCUGGCCGUGCUCUGGGGAUGGCAGCAGGAACAGGGGACGUGGACAUGGACACAGAGCCUGGGACAUGGAACCUGGGACAUGGGAUUUCUCGCCCUGGCUGUGCCCUGGGAAGGUCCCAGUGAGGCACCGGCUGUGCUGGAGCACCUGGGAAUGUUUGUCCUGGGAUGGGGCCAUCGGGCCCAUGGGGCACUUUGGCCCCACAGGGUCAGUUUGGUUCCAGGGGUCACUUCAGCCCCACAUGAAGGGUUUGGCCCCACACGGGGUCUCGACUGCCUGGGCUCAGCUCGGCCCCACAGCGACGUUCACCCUAAUAAAAGGUGCUGUCCCCCCACCGGGCCUGAGUCCUUCACAGCCUGGGGACAGUCAUGGGGUAGGGGUGGGGGU